CUUAGAUCAGAGGGGAAUUUAAAAAAAGGUUAACGAUAACCCCUCGAACAACAAGAACUACAAUUAUUACAAGGUGACAUUCAGAGACAAACAUUUUAAAUACUGUUUUUGAAUAUCCUUACCAGCAAAAAAACACUCCACCAGCAACUGCUAAAAACAAUAGGUAUUGUUUCUGUUCUAGGGAAAUAAUAAUGUGGAAGAAAGCAUUAAGGCAUUAAAACAUUGUUAUAAUAAAAUAGUGUGUGAGGAUGGGGUAACACUAUUUGAAUGGGUGUGCUUAAGAGUGACAUGACAUUGUCAUGAUACUGUCAUAGCCAUGACAUCACACAUGAAGGAAUCAUUUUGAACGUUUAUGAACGUUGUCAUUAGGUGACGGAGCGGGCGCCGCGGGACAAGGCACCAGGGCAGGAGAGUCCUUGGCGGGCUCGGGCAGCGGCGACCAGUCCACGGCGGGCCCUGGCGGCGGAGAAAACAGGGCAGCGAGGAGAACUGGCAGCUGCGGCCCCUGGGCAGCACGGGGCGCAGGGAACACCCGGCGUCUUGGGGCUGGCACCGGACGUAGGCCAGGCGUUGGCCGCACCAAGCUGGCCGGGGACUCUUCCUCUGGCGGUGAGAACCGGUAUGGUGGGUCCCUGAAGCCCCACCAGUCCUCACUCCACCCAACCUCCGGGAAGGCCCCCACCGGCCCUACCAGCGUCGUUUCCCAACGCCGGGCAGGGCUGGGGCACCUGGAUCACCCUGCAUAUGAGCGUAGGUGGCAAGGGCUCGUCCUCCCACCCCUCCGGGGAUGGCAGCCGCGCCUCAGGGUCCUCCGACCGCGCCCACAGCACCCCCCAAAAAAAUUAUUGGGGCUGACUCACAGAGGGUUGAUUGAGUCGCCUCUGUUGACGUCUCCUCCGGGGUCGACGCUGGGUUGGCCCGGGGUGCAGCAGGGGACGGUAGGGGUUCUCCUCCUCCUCUGUCUCGCCAUCAGGCCAACAAAGGAGUUCCCCUACCGUCCACCUCUGCCGUGUCUUUUGUAGGUGGUUCAUUCUGUCACGGUCAUGGUAGCGGUAGGACACAGGCGCAGAGACUGAAUAGUGGAAGUCAUCCAUGUUUAAUCAAAAGAAAGACUCAAACAAAACCAAACGCCGCAAUCAGUGACAUCGGUUAUCCAGAAGGAACAACAAAACCACUGGUUUUGGCAAAACAGGGAACAUAAAUAGGGUCCCCAAUCGGAGGCAACAACCAUCACCUGCCUCCAAUUGAGGAGACUAAAAGGAUUGGAGGUGGCUAGAGGUGCCACCUCCUGUCCUGUCCUGACUAUGCCCCCAGCCCAGCGCAGAGAUGGCUAGGGGCAUAGCCGGGACGUGACACAUUCAGUCGAUUAUGUCAUUUUUAUGCAAGGUUGACAUUGUUUGGGAUGUCUUUGUUAUGACAACAUGACAGUAACCAAGACAACAUAACCUGUUAUAAACAUGUGCCUAAUUAACAAACUUGAAGAAACUAUUUAGCCAGUAUUCUGUGUGCCAUAAAAGGAACUUUGCUGAUCAUGAGACUGGUGCUAAUACUCAGCAUAUUGAGCAUGCAUGGCAGAAAUACAAGUAGGAAGUAUGGAGUCAUAAAGGUAAUCACACUCCUGAGUCACUGAUGAUUCACCUCAAACCCCCACUGGUUAGCCAUACGCCAUUAUAAUGGUGUCUUGGGCAGACUUUUCCAUGAUGUGAAAAAACAAGUAAAGUUUUUAUCAAAGUUUUUUGCAGGAACAUAGUUUGUACUGUAAUUUUGUUAAUGUUGAUGCAGGACAUCCAUUCAUGUAACUAGUGGUUUGCAUGAACAAUGUGCUAAUUAAUAAACAUUAUUCAAGAGAUAAUAUACAUAAUCCAAUUUGUUAAUAUGAUUACAGUGCGGUAAUCAUUAUUAAAAGGUAGACUGGCUACUUGCAUCUUCUAAUAGGUGUGACACACAAAAUAUACACUCACCUAAAGGAUUAUUAGGAACACCUGUUCAAUUUCUCAUUAAUGCAAUUAUAUAAUCAACCAAUCACAUGGCAGUUGCUUCAAUGCAUUUAGGGGUGUGGUCCUGGUCAAGACAAUCUCCUGAACUCCAAACUGAAUGUCAGAAUGGGAAAGAAAGGUGAUUUAAGCAAUUUUGAGCAUGGCAUGGUUGUUGAUGCCAGACAGGCCGGUCUGAGUAUUUCACAAUCUGCUCAGUUACUGGGAUUUUCACACACAACCAUUUCUAGGGUUUCAAAAGAAUGGUGUGAAAAGGGAAAAACAUCCAGUAUGCGGCAGUCCUGUGGGAGAAAAUUCCUUGUUGAUGCUAGAGGUCAGAGGAGAAUGGGCCGACUGAUUCAAGCUGAUAGAAGAGCGACUUUGGCGGAUGGGCUACAACAGCAGAAGACUCCACCGGGUACCACUCAUCGCCACUACAAAUAGGAAAAAGAGGCUACAAUUUGCACAAGCUCACCAAAAUUGGACAGUUGAAGACUGGAAGAAUGUUGCCUAGUCUGAUGAGUCUGGAUUUCUGUUGAGACAUUCAGAUGGUAGAGUCAGAAUUUGGUGUAAACAGAAUGAGAACAUGGAUCCAUCAUGCCUUGUUAUCCCUGUGGAGGCUGGUGGUGGUGGUGUAAUGGUGUGGGGGAUGUUUUCUUGGCACACUUUAGGCCCCUUAGUGCCAAUUGGGCAUCGUUUAAAUGCCUCGGCCUACCUGAGCAUUGUUUCUGACCAUGUCCAUCCCUUUAUGACCACUGUGUACCCAUCCUCUGAUGGCUACUUCCAGCAGGAUAAUGCACCAUGUCACAAAGCUUGAAUAAUUUCAAAUUGGUUUCUUGAACAUGACAAUGAGUUCACUCUACUGAAAUGGUCCCCACAGACACCAGAUCUCAACCCAAUAGAGCAUCUUUGGGAUGUGGUGGAACGGGAGCUUCGUGCCCUGGAUGUGCAUCCCACAAAUCUCCAUCAACUGCAAGAUGCUAUCCUAUCAAUAUGGGCCAACAUUUCUAAAGAAUGCUUUCAGCACCUUGUUGAAUCAAUGCCAUGUAGAAUUAAGGCAGUUCUGAAGGCGAAAGGGGGUCAAACCCAGUAUUAGUAUGGUGUUCCUAAUAAUCCUUUAGGUGAGUGUAUGCUCUGAAUUGGACAAUACUACAUGUGGAUUAUGAUAUUGUUUUACUACAAUUUGAUGAACUCCCGAAACAAACGAAGAUCAAGAUUUCUUUGGACAUCGGACUGAAAAUGUUAUAAACGCAGAGUCACCUACAUAGUUAUGGGGAACGUAAUGACUGUUUUGUAUUAAACAAUGACAUCAUGUGGAUAAUGUUUCUCUUGGCAGUAACAUUUAGCUAGACUAGCUAAACCUCCACCUUUUAUAAUUCCGUUACUGAUGUAUCUUGUGUGUCUUUGUGUAUCCACAUUCUUCUUAGCUAGCCUGUGCCGUUUUUUUAAACCUCUUUUCUAAACAUUGCUUUCAGGUCAUGACAUUUUUCUGCAGUUUUGUUCCCAGAGGAGGAUGACUUUGUGGCAGUAGUUCCACGCCUGUGGCUCAAAGGGGGAGUUUGCUACUGGCCACCACACAGCAUCACCUGCAGGAAGUCCUUCAGCCAUGACAAGUUUGUCAGAACUUGUUCACCACCUGAAGACACCUGGGAGGCUGUCCCUUAUAAGCUCAUGAAGCAUGCAGACAUGUGAGAGACUGCACGUGUGUAUCGCCAGAGGAGCGAAAAUCGUUCCAGCGUGGGCCCCUACCACCCCAAGGACACAUCUACACCACAACACCCUGUGGAUUGCAGCCCUGGAGGUAUGUGAAUUACUUGUUUAACUUCGAAAUUGCUGCAAUAUUUACUUGGUUUUACCAUAUUUACUUGUUCACCAACUUUUAUGUUUAUUUUAGGAUGGAGGAAGCACAGUACUCCAAGGCACCAGAGAGGUACUCCACGCCACCAUGUGGAGGACUGCUACAUAAGGCAAGAAGGCAGAGGUAGGGGGAAGUUUAAGCUCUGCACAUGAAGGUAAGAAUGAAAAUGUUGGCUGACACUGCGAUUUGAGUUCUGAUUGUAAAAUAACCAGAUAUUUAGGACUGAAUAAUUAACUGUCUGUAUUUACUUUCAGAACAUUUGGAGAAGAUCAAGUGGCUGAAAGAAGAGAAGGUCGAACUGAGGGCACAGCUGGCUCUACAAUCAGGUAAAAACAAGACUAUAGUUACGCUAGCAUCUUGUCUUCAUGAAACUGCAUUUGUCUGAACGUGUGCCCUUUACUAAAAUGCAAUACUGUACAGCCUUUCAAAAAUGUAUAUGGCAGUUUUGUUUAUUUCACUAUUAAGCUAUUGACAUUUCAAUGUGCAUUUUAGCUUCUGAUAAAUGUCUGACUGAAGAGAAUGUCAAGCCGAGGGCACAGCUGGCUCUACAAUCAGGUAAAAACAAGACUAUAGUUGCGAUAGCAUGUUGUCUUCAUGAAACAUUUCAUUUAUCUUGAAUGUCAUGCAAAUCUCAAUCAUGUCAGAUCAUUGAAACACAAUAUCUGAUUACAGUAUUACAGGAGCCAUAAGGAAGAAUCCUUCCAACCAGGAUGCCACUGACGAGGCUGUUCAGAACCAGCUGACCUUGCAGGUGGGAAAAGACGUUGCAGCGAUACAAGGGACCUGCCAUGAAUAUGAAUGACAUCUCCAGCACAACCAAUAUUGCAGCUAAUUUACAGUAGUCUUUUUUUUUUAAUAUAUCAUUUUAACUGCUGCUAUGUAUAUGAUCGCAUUAUCCUCUUAAUAUAUUUAAAGCUGUGUGUGAAUGUUCUUAAUUCUGACUGUAGUUGUAGUAUGCUAUGCCACCAUUCAUAAGCUUAUUGCACUGAUGUAUUGAUAAUAUUCAACAACUAUCGAUUGCUGCUAUGUCAUACUUAUGUAUAUUACUGCCAUUCUAGCCCUUGUUUAUUUUGUAUUGUAUUAUGUUUCUUUUGUACUUUUUUACAUUAAAAUACUCUAAUUGUACUAUAUCUGAUGCUGGACACGUUUUCUUGCACUAUUUGAUUUCUGCAUCUUUAUGCAUACUUUUUUUUUGUAUGCAUCUUGCACUAUUUGAAAUAAAUUCUGACCCUAACAUUCACCUAUCUAUUAAUUAUUUUUUUCUUUAUUCUUGUAAUAAAAAUGUAUCAUAUCCACCUACCUCAUGUACAUUACACCUGCACAAAAAUUACUUCUUUAUUCAUUCCAGCUUCGUUUGCACUCUGCUCCAUUAAGAUUACAUCCACCAUCAUUAUGUAAAUAAUAAUACCUGUACAAACAGCACCCUUUAUACCCUGCUCAUUGCACUAUUGUCUCAUCAGUCUUACUAUGUUAUUGUUGGGGUUUAUUGUGUGUAUUGAUGUGUACUGUAUAUUGCAGUCGGUUUAAGUUUUUU
ensembl:lncRNA